rnacentral:rRNA from 1 species
GUCGAGAAUCUUUCACAAUGGGGGCAACCCUGAUGGAGCGACGCCGCGUGGAGGAUAAGGUCUUCGGAUUGUAAACUCCUGUCAUGCGUGAACAAGGUUGCUUGGUUAAUACCUGGGCAAAUUGAUGGUAACGCAAGAGGAAGAGACGGCUAACUCUGUGCCAGCAGCCGCGGUAAUACAGAGGUCUCAAGCGUUGUUCGGAAUCACUGGGCGUAAAGGGUGCGUAGGUGGCGCGGUAAGUCAGAUGUGAAAGCCCGGGGCUCAACCUCGGAACUGCAUCCGAUGCUGCCAUGCUAGAGUACUGGAGAGGUGACUAGAAUUCUCGGUGUAGCAGUGAAAUGCGUAGAUAUCGAGAGGAAUACCAAAGGCGUAGGCAGGUCACUGGACAGUUACUGACACUGAGGCACGAAGGCCAGGGGAGCGAACGGGAUUAGAAACCCUUGUAGUCC